GACGAACGCUGGCGGCGUGCCUAAUACAUGCAAGUCGAGCGGAUUGAUUCGGAGCUUGCUCCGAUGAUGUCAGCGGCGGACGGGUGAGUAACACGUGGGUAACCUGCCUGGCAGACUGGGAUAACGCUUGGAAACGAGUGCUAAUACCGGAUAGUCUUCUGAACCGCAUGGUUCGGAAGGGAAAGAGGCUUUCGCCUCACUGUCAGAUGGACCCGCGGCGCAUUAGCUAGUUGGUGAGGUAAUGGCUCACCAAGGCGACGAUGCGUAGCCGACCUGAGAGGGUGACCGGCCACACUGGGACUGAGACACGGCCCAGACUCCUACGGGAGCAG
rnacentral:rRNA from 1 species